AAACAUUGUUCAUGCGACUCAAACCUGCGUAACCGAGAGUUGUGUUCAGCGUAAGUAAGAAUAUAUAAUAGUAGGCACUUUGCAGUUCAAAUCAGUGUAUCAUACAGUACGACACUGAUUAAAAUGUCUCGUUUAGUUGUGUUUGUAUUAAUUCUUGCAGUAGUUCCAUGUGUUUUUUCUGCUCCAGAAGCAAGACAUUACUCCGGUUCGGCAAGAGCUGAUGAUGGCAGUAUUGCAGUCGGCAUUGUGAGUGGCGGCACGUUCGGCCCCAGAUCCUUCAGCAUCGGCCACGGCGGCGACAGCCAAGGGUACGGCACCGGCGGAGCGGGUGGCAACAAACAAAGUUCAAAGUACAACACUAAUGACAUAAAUUAGCAUUAUAUUAUAGUUUUGUAAGUUCACGUACGACAGCAUUAUAGUGUUUAACAUUAAAAAAUAAUUUAAAUUUUA